rnacentral:rRNA from 1 species
GGUUGUCAUGCCAAUGGCACUGCCCGGUAGCUAAAUGCGGAAGAGAUAAGUGCUGAAAGCAUCUAAGCACGAAACUUGCCCCGAGAUGAGUUCUCCCUGAGACUAUAAGUCUCCUGAAGGAACGUUAAAGACGAUGACGUUGAUAGGCCGGGUGUGUAAGCGCAGCGAUGCGUUGAGCUAACCGGUACUAAUGAACCGUGAGGCUUAACCUUAC